UACGUAGGGUGCAAGCGUUGUCCGGAAUUAUUGGGCGUAAAGAGCUCGUAGGCGGUCUGUCACGUCUGCUGUGAAAACUCGGGGCUUAACCCCGAGCCUGCAGUGGAUACGGGCAGACUAGAGGUAGGUAGGGGAGAAUGGAAUUCCCGGUGUAGCGGUGAAAUGCGCAGAUAUCGGGAGGAACACCGGUGGCGAAGGCGGUUCUCUGGGCCUUACCUGACGCUGAGGAGCGAAAGCGUGGGGAGCGAACAGG
rnacentral:rRNA from 1 species